AAAUUAAGACACUGGCAAGACAAAAACAAACCAAAGGACACAAGAGAACAAAAAGAAAGAAAACAUAAAAAAGCAAAGUAAGGAUUAACAUCAGUGGUGAUGAAGGAACGACGCCAGUCUACCUACAGAAGGAGAAAGGAAAAGGGGCUGUCCUGUGCACUGUAGGAUGUUUAUGAGCAUCUCUGGCUUCUACCCACUAGAUACCAGUAGCACAACCCCCUCAACUGUGACAACCAAGAGUCUCCAGACCAAAUGUUUUCUCGGAGACAAAAUCACCCCCA